UGCUCCCUCGUUCAAUGGUAGGACAGCCGCCUCUGGAGCGGCAUAUCGGGGUUCGAAUCCCUGGGGAGCAGCCA
rnacentral:tRNA from 1 species